AGAGUUUGAUCAUGGCUCAGAUUGAACGCUGGCGGCAGGCCUAACACAUGCAAGUCGAACGGUAACAGGAAGCAGCUUGCUGCUUCGCUGACGAGUGGCGGACGGGUGAGUAAUGUCUGGGAAACUGCCUGAUGGAGGGGGAUAACUACUGGAAACGGUAGCUAAUACCGCAUAAUGUCGCAAGACCAAAGAGGGGGACCUUCGGGCCUCUUGCCAUCGGAUGUGCCCAGAUGGGAUUAGCUUGUUGGUGGGGUAACGGCUCACCAAGGCGACGAUCCCUAGCUGGUCUGAGAGGAUGACCAGCCACACUGGAACUGAGACACGGUCCAGACUCCUACGGGAGGCAGCAGUGGGGAAUAUUGCACAAUGGGCGCAAGCCUGAUGCAGCCAUGCCGCGUGUAUGAAGAAGGCCUUCGGGUUGUAAAGUACUUUCAGCGGGGAGGAAGGGAGUAAAGUUAAUACCUUUGCUCAUUGACGUUACCCGCAGAAGAAGCACCGGCUAACUCCGUGCCAGCAGCCGCGGUAAUACGGAGGGUGCAAGCGUUAAUCGGAAUUACUGGGCGUAAAGCGCACGCAGGCGGUUUGUUAAGUCAGAUGUGAAAUCCCCGGGCUCAACCUGGGAACUGCAUCUGAUACUGGCAAGCUUGAGUCUCGUAGAGGGGGGUAGAAUUCCAGGUGUAGCGGUGAAAUGCGUAGAGAUCUGGAGGAAUACCGGUGGCGAAGGCGGCCCCCUGGACGAAGACUGACGCUCAGGUGCGAAAGCGUGGGGAGCAAACAGGAUUAGAUACCCUGGUAGUCCACGCCGUAAACGAUGUCGACUUGGAGGUUGUGCCCUUGAGGCGUGGCUUCCGGAGCUAACGCGUUAAGUCGACCGCCUGGGGAGUACGGCCGCAAGGUUAAAACUCAAAUGAAUUGACGGGGGCCCGCACAAGCGGUNACCCCGCGCCGCUGAGAAAAAGCGAAGCGGCACUGCUCUUUAACAAUUUAUCAGACAAUCUGUGUGGGCACUCGAAGAUACGGAUUCUUAACGUCGCAAGACGAAAAAUGAAUACCAAGUCUCAAGAG
rnacentral:rRNA from 1 species